rnacentral:rRNA from 1 species
AUUGAACGCUGGCGGCAGGCCUAACACAUGCAAGUCGAGCGGAUGACGGGAGCUUGCUCCUUGAUUCAGCGGCGGACGGGUGAGUAAUGCCUAGGAAUCUGCCUGGUAGUGGGGGACAACGUUUCGAAAGGAACGCUAAUACCGCAUACGUCCUACGGGAGAAAGCAGGGGACCUUCGGGCCUUGCGCUAUCAGAUGAGCCUAGGUCGGAUUAGCUAGUUGGUGGGGUAAUGGCUCACCAAGGCGACGAUCCGUAACUGGUCUGAGAGGAUGAUCAGUCACACUGGAACUGAGACACGGUCCAGACUCCUACGGGAGGCAGCAGUGGGGAAUAUUGGACAAUGGGCGAAAGCCUGAUCCAGCCAUGCCGCGUGUGUGAAGAAGGUCUUCGGAUUGUAAAGCACUUUAAGUUGGGAGGAAGGGCAGUAAGUUAAUACCUUGCUGUUUUGACGUUACCGACAGAAUAAGCACCGGCUAACUCUGUGCCAGCCGCCGCGGUAACAC